AACCAAGGAAAGAAAACACAACCGUGCUCCCUGCCGGAAGAUAUUUGGUGUAGUACUACCUAAAACACCAUGAUCACAGUGCAGGGGGCAAUGUCAGCAUGUUUGUGAAGGGAUGUUCCACAAUGAAGUUGGAAAGUAUAAAGUUACACAAAGAGAGUGAGGCACACAAGACUGCUGUCCUAAAGAAAAUGGGAGAAGAAGCUACCCCAGGGACAACAUAAUAAAUACAAUUUAAUUACAACAGUUUGUAAUAAAAUUAAAACAAGUUCUUUUUCC